rnacentral:rRNA from 1 species
GACCAGACUCCUACGGGAGGCAGCAGUGGGGAAUAUUGCACAAUGGGGGAAACCCUGAUGCAGCGACGCCGCGUGAGUGAAGAAGUAUUUCGGUAUGUAAAGCUCUAUCAGCAGGGAAGAAAAUGACGGUACCUGACUAAGAAGCCCCGGCUAACUACGUGCCAGCAGCCGCGGUAAUACGUAGGGGGCAAGCGUUAUCCGGAUUUACUGGGUGUAAAGGGAGCGUAGACGGCAUGGCAAGUCAGAUGUGAAAGCCCGGGGCUCAACCCCGGGACUGCAUUUGAAACUGUCAGGCUGGAGUGCAGGAGAGGUAAGUGGAAUUCCUAGUGUAGCGGCGAAAUGCGUAGAUAUUAGGAGGAACACCAGUGGCGAAGGCGGCUUACUGGACUGUAACUGACGUUGAGGCUCGAAAGCGUGGGGAGCAAACAGGAUUAGAUACCCGGGUAAA